UCGCUGCGAGCGGCUUCCCCUCCUCCCCCUCCCCGCUGCUCGCGCCGGCGAUCCCGCAGCAUGGGCGGCGAGGCCCGCGGGCGGUUCCUGCUGCUGUACGCGAGCCAGAAGGGGCAGGCGAAGGCCAUCGCGGAGGAGAUCGAGCAGCGGGCGAGGGAGCGCGGCUUCCAGGCGGACCUGCGCUGCGUCAGUGAGAGAGGCGAGUAUAACUUGGAGAGCGAAAAGGACCCUUUGGUGAUAGUUACUUCCACGACGGGUACAGGAGAACCUCCUGACACAGCAGCCAAGUUCAUUAAAGAAAUUAAUAACAAAGCUCUGCCGUCAGACCACUUUUCCCAUUUACGAUAUGGAUUGCUAGGCCUGGGAGACUCCGAAUACACAUUUUUCUGCAAUGGCGGGAAGAUAAUAGACAAACGGCUUCAGGAGCUUGGAGCACAGCGCUUCUGCGAGGUGGGGCUAGCAGAUGAUGCUGUAGGUCUGGAACUGGUGGUUGAGCCAUGGAUUGCCGGACUUUGGAUUGCCCUGAAACGGGAAUUUGCAUCCAGGAAAGAAGAAACAGACUGCAGUGACCAGACUGCCCCUUUUACCGGCAACACAGAUUCUGAUUCAUGCAUUGGAUCCAAAAUUGCACAACUGAAGCUAGACGACUCAGAGGUGAAAAAUGAUCCCUCAUCAGAAGCGAAUAUAGACUCAGAAGUGGCCAUUCAGUACUUGCAGCCUUCACUUUUUCAAUCAGUGCCUCCACUUUCACAGUCUGCUCUUAAUAUUCCGGCAUUACCAUCAGAAUACCUAGAAGUGCAGCUUCAAGAAAACUCUGACCAGGAUACCAACCUGCCCCAUGUUUCAGAGAGCUCCGUCUUCCGGGUUCCUAUCACCAAGGCCAUUCAGCUCACUAGGGACGAUGCAGUGAAGAAGACCUUGCUGCUAGAACUUGAUAUUUCUAAAACAGCAUUUAGCUACCAGCCUGGAGAUGCCUUCAAUGUCGUUUGCCCCAAUAAUGCCAGCGAGGUGGAUGCGCUCCUUCGCCUCUUGGGACUGGAGGAGAAGAAAGAUUACCUUGUUUCCUUGAAGGUUAAAGCAAACACGAACAAAAGAGGAGCAUCUGUGCCACAAUAUAUCCCUGAAAAGAGUACUGUGAAAUUCAUUCUGAUGUGGUGUUUGGAAAUAAGAGCAUGUCCCAAAAAGGCAUUUUUACGCUCCCUGAUAGAAUAUACCACUGACGCUGGAGAAAAACGGCGGCUCCAGGAACUGUGCAGCAAGCAGGGAUCCUCGGAUUAUAAUGCUCUCGUGCGAGAUGCCGGCGCCUGCCUAGCGGACCUCCUCCAGGCUUUCCGCACGUGCAGGCCUCCGCUCAGCCUCCUGAUCGAAAACCUUCCAAAACUGCAAGCCAGACCCUACUCAGCUGCAAGCUCUAGCUUAUUUCAACCGGGAAAGCUGAGCUUCGUCUUUAACGUUCUGGAGUUUCCAUCCCUUCUUGGAGAAAGGCGAAGAGGUGUCUGUACUGGCUGGCUGGCCGACUUGGUCACCCCACUCCUUCAGUCGAGCGUGAAGGGUGAGGGACUCUUAAUUCCAAAGAUCUCCAUCUCAUCCCGUCCAGCCAACAUUUUCCAUUUACCAGAUGAUCCAUCGGUUCCCCUUGUUAUGGUUGGUCCAGGAACUGGAAUUGCGCCAUUUAUCGGCUUCCUGCAACAUAGGCAGAAACUCAAAGAGGCUCACAAAGACUGGCUGUUUGGAGAGACAUGGCUGUUUUUCGGCUGCCGCCACAAGGCCAAAGACUACCUGUUUGAAGGUGAGCUCAGGCGCUUCAUUGAGGAUGGCACCCUGACGCAUCUGAAGGUCUGUUUCUCCAGAGACGCCCCGGCUGCGGCGGGAGCCGCCACUCCUAAAUACGUUCAAGAUAACCUUCGGCUUUUUUCGAGAGAGAUUAGCAGGCUUUUGCUGCAGGAGAACGGGUAUUUUUAUGUGUGUGGAGAUGCAAAGCAUAUGGCGAAAGACGUGAACGAUACUUUAGUGGAUGCCUUAAUUGCUGAGAAAGGAGUUGACAAGCUGCACGCACUGAAAAUGCUGGCUACUUUGAGAGAGGAAAAGAGGUACCUGCAGGACCUCUGGGCCUAAGAACUGGCUGGACAGUCUGGCAUUGGGAGCCCGAUGGCAGUUCUGCUCAUUUCCCACCAGAGUGAUGCGGACAAUGACCUUUUGAAUAUAUAUUGUGAUACUCAAGUCGCUCGUCUAGUAAUAAAUGAGCCUUCUCCCCUCCUAAUUAAAAAGUGCUCUUUCCUGCACCGACAACAAUAAUUGGUUUCAGGGAUGUUUCCCAAUCUAAGGUUUUUCAGAAGCGACAUCAGUUGUUUCCAUCCAAUGGUUCAGGAAGUUUCAGCUUUCAUUAAGUGCCUUCCCUGUUUGUAGAUCUUCUCUGAGCAAGGUUGGCAGAUGGCUUAGAAUAUGGGCGAAAUAAAGACUCUAAAGUGUGCUAAGCAGGAAAUGUUCUAAGGGAUGCAUCUGAAAAUACGGUAGCAUGUGCAACAUUACUUCUCUUGAAAACAGUUUAAAAUCCGGAAGCCAUUUUUAUGUACUUUUUGGAACUGUUGCCGUGACUGAUGAGAGAAAAGAUGCCUGGCCAUCUUCUCAAGUUCAGCACCAGCCUAAUCUGGUGCAUUAUGCAAGUCCCACGCUGCACAAAUGAAGGCAUAGAGGCAGCAAAACAAUGGAAAACUCUCGGAUUUGGUUUUUGCUACCACCUGAGAUUGUGUAAAAUGCAAAGACGUUUUGAAGAAGCUAAGGGAAAAGCUCAGUCACCCUUGUAAUUAAGACUACAGAAUUCUUUGCCCAUCACUUUUUAAAUGUCGCUGAGACUCAUUUUAGAGGUUUUAUAGAGCUUCAGCUUUAAAAAUGAUUGGAGAGUGUGAGACCUCCAGUUUUAUAGAUGCAGGACUGGUGCUUCUUUCCAGAACUGAUGACAGAAUAAAAAUGGAACGCUGGUUUUAUGAAA